UUUUUUUUUUUUUUUUUUUUUUUUGGAGGUAAAGAAAACCAGAACAGAGUUGAACAUGUAAAUUUUAAAAUGCCCGUACAAUUCGAUGAUAUAGUUCUGAUAAUGUAUGCCUAGAAAGUAGAAACGAAGGGAUAUGAAUGCCUUGAAACAGAUGAAAUUGCACAAUGCUGUUUGGAGGGAUUCUUUGAAAAAACAUUUCAGAAAUUUUUGAAAACACCCGAAAAACAACUAUUCUUGUUCCGGGUUUUGUUUGGAGCUGAUUCAUGCAUGCUUCCGACUCCAUGACGGGAAGUUUUUGAGAGUUCGGCACUCGUUUGCUUGGAAAUCUCAGCGCAGCGAGGCCCUGAACAUUUCAAGGAAAAGUGAAAGUCAACCAACACGUCUGGAUAAUAGACCAUCUAAGAUAUAGAAAGAAACUUGGCUUCGAGAAGCCUAAGCUAUGAUACGUGAGAACACGGUCAACCAAAAAGCUGAUUUGUGUGUAAUAAUGAUUUUGGGUAGAAUUAGCCAACAGAUGGAGGAAGCCCGACUAUGGAAUACGUCCUUUUCUUUUGUCUGGAAGAUCGGCCAAUUUGAUUGCACUGAGUUUUUAGAGAAGCAUUAGCCAAGUCAUAGAACGGAGCAAGUAAAUACAAACAAAUAAGAGAUUAGUAGUAUAAGAAAGAGGAUAAGAAUCAAUCAAAUCAAACUUAAUAGAGCCAAGUUCAGUCUAAUGCAAGCUCAGUAGGGUCCUGAGAUCGAAUAGGCAAUAGAACACUUUUCAGUUUGUCAAAUGCGCAAUGAAACUAGCUUAUAAAAUAUUUUUCUUUGACAAAGUACGAGUAACCUAAACUAAACACUUCCAAUGUAAACGAUGAAAAUUGGGUGGAUACCCCCACAGUAAAAUAUCUUGGACAAAUCCACACACGGUAAAACCAGACUUCAACCUGUUUGUAACCCGUAAUUUUUACCUUCCUGAAGCACUUGGUGAUAAUGCUGCUGCUUCAUGGCGUGGGCAGUUAACCAAACUAAGACUAGUAAGUAGUUUAGGACCAUGGGAAGUUUCAUCUGCAAUUUAUGGCAGGGCAGAUCGAUUUCUCUCAUCCAAACGUGCAAGGAUCCCCAGAACAAUCACAGUAGAAACACUUCUGUUUAAAUCAACAAAAUGUGAGCAAAAGAUUUGAUUAAACAUCCGACUAAAACACUUACCUUUAAACCAAUAAAAUGGAAUUAAAGAUUGAUUUUUUCAAAGGCUAGAUCAAACACAGGAAUGGGACAAUAUGGCUGAAAGAGGAACUAAACAGACUGUUGUAACUGUAUUAGGAGAACAAACCUGAAGGUCCUAAUUGCCAUUGUUAAGUUUGAUAUUAGGAAAAAUGGCUGCAAGUGUGUGUAGCGAGACAAUGAGUGUGUUUGGACAGCCAAUUAUUUGGCCAAAUAUAUUUGCUGACAUCACCAUUACAAUUUUCAAUACACCUUUUUAUCUUUCCAAUUACCUUUUUAUCUCACAUACAUCACAUCACAAAAAGUGCUACAGUAAAAAUAUUUCAAAUAACUUACAAUCCAAACACACUCAAUAUCUAUCUCAAAUCGAACCCUUUCUCAAGCUCUUGCAGAAUGAUCAUCUCAUCCAAGAAAGGCGCUUUUUCUGAGAUCAUCAAACACACGUCACUGAUGGAGACGGGCUAUCUGCUAAGCAUGUAACCUGAGGAGGCCUAACUGAAAGCAAGGCAACAUCAUUUGAAAACUUUAGCUCAACAGCAUAACCAUUGCAUCUUAGUAAGGAAGUAAAGAUGUCACUAUGAAGUGCUUUUGACCUUAGUGUAUAAUGCCUUUGAAUGGGGCACAUAGCCAUGUAUGGAAGCUUUCAUUCCAUCUUCCUUUUUUCCCCCCUUAUAACUAUCUUACUUCAAAUACAUGCUUUGAAGUCAAAACUGAACCUCAGCACUCCACAAAAGAAUAGUGAGCUGCACAGACAUGGAAAUUGAGGACCAAACAGGAAUGUUAGCAAUUUGAGAAACUGAGGCAGAUACUAAUGUGAUAGUAUAGAUGUCAAUAACUGCAUUUGCAUCAAAUAUGACACAUAAUAAUUCAAUAUCCAAAACACUACCUAAAAGUAUGAGGUUCAACAGGAUGUGACAGAUACAAAACAUAAUAAGUACACAAGAAUUUUGUUGGUGGACAAGCAACCAAAAGAACCCGCAAAGAGGUUUAAAAAAUUCCAUGUCAAGUAAGAUUUUUGAAAAUGAUUUUGGUCUUACAGACAAGACUAUGAUAGAAAUACGAGUAGGAAAAAGAAGCCCAAAUUACCUCAAAUAGCCUACAGGAGUGAACUGUAUGACUGAACUUCUUGAUCAGAUGACCACAGCAACAGCAAUAGCAAUCCCCUUUAAAAACAGCAGGAAGAACGAGGAUUGCCCUCUACCAUUAGCAAAUUGUUAAUUGAAGGAAAAACCAAGAAAUUAACAAUUUUAUGUAUGAUCUUUACUAGUUAAUCAUUUCAGACCACAUGGACCCUCAACUUGUGAAGUAAGGAGAAAAGAAAGAAGCAAAAAGGUAUGAAUAAGUAAUGUUAUAGAAGGCUUUGAUUCGAAGUGUGUUACAUGGGUGGUCUUCCCACUGAAUGAUGGAAACCAAAAUCGAGAGUACAAGCAGAUAAUUACCUUACUUUAUUUCAGAAAAUGAGCACGCUGCCAUAGAUGCUAGAUAGCUUCAUCAUCCAAAACUUAACCCCUUGACGCAACUUUUGCUGCAAAAUAAAAAUAACAAUAUGUAAGCACCAAAGAAAUCUACAAGGAAACAAGGAGGGCUGCACCUAAACUAAGGAUAAAAAUCAGGAACUGAAUCUCUUCAAGUUUACCGAAGCUUUAGGUGAUUUAAAUAAGUAUACCUUGGACCAAUCUGCCAUAUUUUGAAAACCUUGGAUCCAGACCUGCCUCCAACAUUUGAUCCAAGAGCUUCUCAGAUUCUUCUGAAUCACCUUGUGCUUGUAGACCAUAGAUCAAAGUUGAGUAGGUAAUGGCUGAAGGAGAAAUCCCUUCUUCUAUCAUUGUCUCUUUGAGUUUCAAAGCUUCAGAAGUAUUACCACUUUUGCAGUAUCCAUCAAUCAAAGUAUUAUAGGAAAUGAGAUUUGGGGCUGGACCUUUCAAGCAAAGCUUGCUGUAAAGUUUUGUUGCUCGAUCAAGGUUUCCAGAUUUACAUAGGCCAUUUAUAAGAGCAUUAUAUGUAGCAAUAGUCGGGAUGAGACCCUUUUUCAGCAUCUCAUCCCGUAACUGAAAUGCUCUAUCGACAUCACCAGACAAUGACACACCAUGAAUCAGGGAUGUGUAUGUGAACUCAUCUGGAAUAAAACCUCUCACAGACAUAUCAUUAAUUACCUCCACAGCAUUAUCAACCCUGCCGUAUUUACAUAAACCUGCAAUAGCUACAUUAUACAAAUAGUUAUUGGGAAUAAUGGAACUUUUGGUGCUUUUGUCAAUUGACGUUGUAAUUCUCUCUAAAUCUUGUGAUCCAUCGUCAGAGUUUACCAUGAGCUGGUCAGAAAAAUAUUUAAGACUUGGGGCACUAUGUAAAUCCAUUACUUUCAGCAAUACCUUGCUUGCUUCACCUCUCAUACCAAGCCUGUACAAUCCACUGAUAAUUGUGGUACAAAUUAUGGUGUUUGGAACUAUACCCUUAGCUCUCAUCUCGAAAUAAGCAUCUAGAGCUUUCUUCAGCAUUCCUUCUCUGAACCAACCUGCGAUGAGGGCUCCAUAUGUGAUGAUGUUUGCUUUUAAUCCUCUGUUCUGCAUCUCAGUGAGAACAUCUGGCACUUGGCUAAAUUUCCCUGCCCCAAAGAGUCCACUGAUAAUUGAGUUAAACAUUUCAGUGGAAGCCGCAAUUCUUUCCCUUUCCAUGACAUACAAAAUUUCAAAAACUUUUUCAAUAUCUCCAGUUUUAGCAUAACCAUCACUGAGAGUCCUAUAAGUUACUUCAUCAGGUGAAAAUCCCAGUUCUUUCAUCCUGUCAAACACCUGCUCCGCUUCAAUUAUUUUCCCCAUUUUACACAAUCCAUUGAUCAUUGUAUUUACAAGAAUCCUACUUUUGGCAAAGCCUUGCGCUAAAACAUGCUUCCACAGCAUCAAAGCCUUCUCAGAAAUUCCCUUGUUAAAGAGGCCAUGCAAGAGAGCACCAUAGCAAACUUCAUCAGGAGUAACACCCCUUUUAAGCAUCAAAGCCCAAAGACGCAAAGCAUCAUCAAUAGCACCACUUUGGCACAAACCUUUCAAAAGAACACUAUACGUAACAACUGUAGGUUCUACACCAUCUCGAAUCAUUGUGUCACAGAGAAUUAAUGCCUGCUGUGUUUGACCUGCCUGCCAGUAGCCAUUCAUUAGGGUUGUGUAAGUAUAAGAAUCAGGUCUUAAUUUCCAGUCACUCAUGCUCCUGACUAUUCCAUGAGCUUCACUAACUUGACCAAGUUUACAAUAUCCAUUUAUCAAUGAAUUACAAGUAAACAUGUUCAUCUUCAAUCCGAAACUCAACAUUUCCUCCUUUAUCCUAAUAGCAUCAUCCAGUUUCCCUACUUGACAAAAGCCAUCAAUCAACACCCCAUAUGCCUGUUCAUCUACAGCCAUUUUGUCACCCUCCUCCGUCUUCAUCACUCGAAACACAUUCUCUGCUUCCUCCACCUUCCCUUGCUUGCAAUAACCCUUAAUCAACAAUGUAUAUGUCACCACAUUUUUCACAAUCCCCCGUUCACUCAUCAACCGCAACACUCCUUCCGCCUUCUCCAAAUCCCCCUCCUCCACAAACGCAUUUAUUAAACUGUGAUAAAUCACUGAAUUCAACUCCAACCCAAUCUUUUUCUCCAUUUCCUCCAAAAACUCGACCGCUUUGCAAACCCUGCCAUCCUUACAAUAAGCAUUUACCAUUAUACUGCACGUAUAUACAUCCGGGACAAUCCCCAUUCUAACUAUCUGCUCAUAUACACAAAAAACAGUUUGAAAGUCAUGAUUUUUCACCAAACCACUCAACAAACUAUUGCAGGAACGUAAGCUCGGUAACCGCCCACACUUAGGCAUAUUAUCAAACACAUACAGUGCGUUCUGAAUCAAUCCUUUUUUAGCAUAAAUUUUCAAAAUCAUAUCAAACACCGUCGGAGAGAACUUAAAUUCUCCAUAAAUCCGAACUAAUUCAUCAUAAACAAAUGAAACCGAGCUUAUAUUUCUAGAGAGUUCGAUUAAUUCAUCCAAGUACGACCUCGUCUCGUCAAAAAGUCGGGCCUUGGACAAAAUGUGAACGAUUUUACAGUAAGCCUUGAAAUGGGGUCUGUAAUUUGGCUGGUUUGAAGCUAAUCUGAAGAAGUGAAGACAGGCGGAGGGGUUGAGUUUCAGUUUUUGGAGGACAGCGUCGACGAGUUCGUGGGAGAAUUGGAAAGAAAGGUUCUUGAGGUCUGUAUGGCGUUCGAGAACUAAAAGGCGGCAAACCCGAUUGGUGAGUUCGGGCGUUGUCAAGUUGGAGGGUUCUACCCCGGAAGCCCAUUUCAGGAGGGUCGCAGAAGAGUGAAAAGAGCGACGGCGGCAGAGGGGAAGAUGAGUAUGGAGUCUACGGGUGAAGCUGGAAAUUGAUUGGCAACGGAUCAUCGAAGUUUUGCUUUCAGUUGUCAAUUGGUUUUCGCAGCAGUAGCCAUCAAUUUAUAUGUCGAGCAAAGAUUUCAUAUUGGAUGCUUCGAAUAUUAGACACUUGGUGUGUGGUUCUUUUCUUUUUGAUUCUUCCCGCCUGCUAUAUAUAUACCCUCCUCCUACCAAUUCUUCUUUCUCAUCUCCUUUUUGCCCCUUUGCAGGGGACAGCUCCGCGUGGGCAUAGGGCCUCGACAAUAAGCAACUCUCCAUGGAUGGACUUUGGAGAUCAUUGAACACGAAUGAAUUUAAAUUCGGUUGGCCCAAAACAGGGAUUCGGGGCCCAAUCACAUGGUUGAUUGCUUGAUGCUUCGGCCUAAUUGUUGUACAAGCUUUUCAAUUAUCAACUUUUAGCCCCUCAAUUAUUUUAAAUCUGAAAUUAUGCCUUCAAUCGAUAAAAAAAAAAAAGCCAAAAUUUGAUCCUUUAGUCGAUUACCACCACUAAAGCUAAUGGAUCUAAGAAACGGAUCCAACUGAUAAAAACGGAUUGAAGGUUUACAUUCGAUAGUUUUUAUCGUUGAGGAGCCAGUUCAGGAUUUAAAAUAAAUAAGUGGCCAAAAGUUAACUAUGUUGAAAUAGUUUAAUGAUUCCCAAAGUAUUACCCUCCUAUGUAGGGAUUAAGGCCCUGUUCUCAAUUGAUGAUUUCGAAAAAGUUAUUUUGUUGUGUUUUCAACCGCUUUUCGAAAUUUUGGAAGUCAAUAACGAAGGUUAGUUUAUCAUUGGCAGAGUGGAAUCCUAAAAGAGAAUGAGGUGGGGAAGAAUAAGGAAAUAUGCUGGCAGUAACCAUUUCAGCGAGUUGUUUAUCAUGCAUGGGAAGCGAGGAAUGCUUGGAAUGUUAAUGAAGAUGAUUCAAAGAUCAAAGUGUCAGCUUGACUACUUGCAACGAGGUCUCUCAAGAGGUUCUAGUGGGGAAAAAGGUCACUAGAGAGGAGGAGCGGAUGAUGAGCAGCUGAAGCAAAUUAACCUCCUACUAGGUAGGUCAAAGUCAGUGUGGACGGGGCAUUUAGACGUGGCUGGAGCGGGUUAGUCAAUUAGAGAUGAAAUGGGGAUGUGGAAAGGAGGUUUCUGCAUCAACUUGGGUGUAACCAGGAAUGGUGAGAUUGAACCCAACUUGUUUAUCGUAGUUUCAAUUAAUCAACCAUAUAUAUAUAUAUAUAUAUAUAUAGAAUACAACAAUAAUGCAUUGACAAUUGGACGGUCCAAAGUACUUCUAAGCUAAGCCAAGAUGUCGCUUUAGGUUUGUAGCUUGGUUCCACAGUCUUCACAGUGUUCUUCAGAUCUCUGGCUCUUCUUCCGCUUGAUAAAACGGUAGAAAAUGUAUUGAAGGAUGAUCUGUGCAAAGUUAAAUUAAGGUCUAUCUAUCGACUGAAAUGUCCAUGAACCAAGAAAAGAGGGCCAAAUUCGGAAAAAAAAAAAGAAGCAGCAACAGUUAAAAAAAGGACCGAGUAUGUAGGAGUAGUAAAUAAAAUAAGAGUGUAGGAUACGAAAAGAUCAAGCGCCACGCACACUACAGCAUCUAGCAACCAAGGCAUGUUUGGUUGUAUCUUCUCCCGUUUAGUGCUUCUCACCAGGAUGCUGCAUUGGUUAAUUGAUUGUUAGCUUCUUCAAAUUCAUGUCCUUAAAGAACUAGUUCUAAUUUCUUUGGCUUAUUGUACGAAGGAGGAGGUUAGAGAGGAAUGAGAGAAUGAAAAAGGGAGGGAACCAACCUUCCCACGUAAGUAGCAUUAGCAAUGAGUGCAAACAGGAACAUGAGAGGAUUCAAGCCCUAUACCAAAAGGAGAUUAGAGCAUAACAGAAGAACGAUUAGAAACAACCAAAUAAAUAUUCUUGAAUGUAUUUGAAACACCAAGUAUUUCCCAAAGCAGAGAUAUUACCUCCACACUUCCUCUUUUAAUCUGGCCAAUUAACAGCGUGGAGGAGGGACACAAAAUGUUAGAAAAAUAAAUGCAAGUUCCAAAAAUAUAAAUUAGAAAAAAACAGAAGACUUGUGAAGAAAUUAAGUAAAAGACUGACGUUCAACCAAAUCUGGGGAAUUCGUCCGCCCAUGUAUAUGGCAGCCAUCAACCAUCCAAGCCAUUGUCCAUAUGCUCUGCCGUGAAGUUCAUAUUUUUCCUGUUCAUUAACAAUUUUCCAUCCCCAAGUUUCUGCUUCGAUCAAUGCAUAGAAACCCAAAAAAACUACGUAAAGUUGUAAAGAUGCCGGUUAAAAACCUCUAGUAAUCUCCUCCCAACAAAGUUCAGCUGGGAAGCCUUACUUCCUCUUGGAAUGUAGGCAGAAGCCGCAAGAAAUGUCCCGUAUCCCGCCUGAACAGGGUAAAUUAUGAUUACCCAUUUGCUUAAUUUUUGGAUAAAAACUUUUCUAUUUACUAGUAGUAUUAAUCAUUCUGCAAAUUAACUCACAGGCCCUGGAAUGAGGCGAGGUUGACUGACUGGUCUUUGGUAGAAUUCUGGUGGGAUUGCUUCUUCGUCUUCAGAUGAGGACUCGCUUUGGUGCUCAAGGGCAGGUGGACCGCUCUUUGGCUUUAUGUAAGACUGGAUUGGAGGAGUAUCACUUCCAGCCAAAGACCUAGCUGACCUAUAUAGAUUCAAAGCAACCCAAAGAGAAAAAUGAAAAAUUACCCCGUGGUCAAAACGGAAAAAAAAAAAGAAAAAGAAAAAAAAAAUAAGGAAGGAAGAUAAUAGUGUGCAAAUCUCACCUGAAAUGGAAGUCCCUCCGACGAGGUACCUCAAUCGGAGCAUUUCUUCUAUCUCUACCACUUCGAUCAUGUAGAUUUUGUUUUAAAGCACUCCUCUCGUUAUCGUCCUGGAAAGAAAGAUACAUAUACUUUGUUAAAAAUUUCUUUUUUGAUUAUUUUUUCCUAUAUUGUCAGCGUAUAUACUUAUAAUAGAUUUAUAACAUGCAUGUCACAUCAUUUUAACAUGAAUUUAAAUACUAAACUUUAUAUAUGUGAUAUACAUCUAAACAUAUUACUGUAUACAUUGACUGAUUGACAGUACAUAAAAGAUUUAUUUUUUCAUUUUUUUAUGUACUAUACUUCAUCUAAUUACUAAUAUCUAGUGCUAUAUAUCUAUCAUGUCUCUGGUUGUGCUCGGUUCGUUGGUGGGAAUUGGCCUUGAACUAGAAAAAGCGUUUUUUUCUUCUUUUCAAAAUUUCAAUUCUGGCUUAAAACUAAUUCUGAGGACAUGCAUAUAUAGAAGAAAACAUUAAAGUGCGUACAGUUUUUAUCUGCUACCUUAUUUACUUUGGUUUUACGGCCCUUCCAUAUCCGGAUGAUAUGGUCAUAGUAUAUACAUUGCAAUGCCAGUACUACUGUCGUUGCUGCGUACAACUGCAAAGAAAAUUAACCGUUGAUUAAAGAUAUAUCUUGCUAAUAUAUAUGCUCGAGGGACAUAGUUCUUUGCAAGUUAUAUCCCCAAAAGUGGUAAUGUUCAAGGGCAAGAGUAAGAUUAGUUUUACCACUGCCGUGUAAAACUGGGUAGGUAACUGCAGAAAAAAAGAACAAAAUUUCCGGUGAGAAAAUAAUACCCAUAAUUAGGUAAAGAUGAAAUUGAUACAAACAUUGCUAUAGGUAUAGACGAAUGUCAAGUUAAUUUUGGUGAGAGUGUAACAUCGCUAGCCCUUCAAAAAAAAAAUGAUAUCUUCAACAAUCCUUCUAGGAACACGUGGUAUAAUUGUGGUCUCCACUUAUGUCAACCAAAAAUUUACACUAAUUUAAACAGAAGAGAUAGAUUUUCCCUCAAAAAGGUAAAAACAUAAGAGGUAGUUCAUUAAAAUCUACAAUGACAAAUUAAGCUAGUAGAAUUUCUUGAAAGCCAUCAUCGCAAUCAUCAAAGACAAGACUUUGCCGGUAUUCCCCGGCCACUAGUCCUCUUGUCUUCUUUCAUUUCUCUACUUUUUGUUUACCCCCUUUGAAAUUUUUUUUUUUUUUUGGACAAUAGUACAGUGUACCCAUAACAUAAUACGAGUUGGAGGGAAGCAAGAAAUGUUUUAAACAGAAAAAAAAAAACCAAAGAAAGAUAAUGCAUAGCCCUGUACCGUGGCUGGCUCCAGAAUGCAACCGACGAGGUUGAACACGUCGCUGCAUAUAAGAUUUUUCAGUACAUCAGAUUUACAAAGUUUAACCAAAUUUCUGUACGAGGAUAAAUUAUGGCAUAUAAUUAGCAGAACAGUAGUUUAAACUAGAAAGGUACUAAUUAAUUAUUGCGUUGCAUGUAACCGUGGACAAGCAAGUACCCGACAAUCCAAGUGGAGAUAAAUGCAAGGGAGACUCCAUCGGCAGAUUUGCUCUUGAAGUUGGUGAUGAUCUGAGGAAUUUCUGCUACAGCCCAACAGACCAGACUUGCUAUUCCGAAAGCAAAUGAGAUUUCAUCCUUGAGGUUGCAGAGACAGUCCUUGAAGUAUUUCUCCACCCAUCUAACACAUGGUUUUUGCUCCACCGGGCAGUAAGAGAGUUUUAAGGGCUUCAUUUUGUUGCUAUCCAGGGUGAUCGACAAAAAGCUUAUGCAAAUUUAUACUAGCCGGGGCACGAUGUAGCACGCGCCAAUUAUUGCAAGUUACCCCAAGUAAAACCAUACCCUUAGAGAAACACCCCAAAUUAAAAGGACCAAAUCCACAAUUACACCUACCAAAUCCACAAUUUGUGAUACUUGCGAUGACAUCAUUUCUGUUUCUUUUAGUGCUGCAUUCGAAUGUAUUGUGAUUUAGAUGUUAGGUGCGUAGCAGCAGUUUUAUGGACGGUAGUGAAGGAAAAGGUUGCUAUCCAAAGAUCAACCGGCUGGUUGAGGAUAAGGCGCUCUUCAGUCAGUCUUAAUUUUGUGCGUGCAAGCGGGCAAAUUAAUGUUUGCUGGCUUUCCUGAAUCAUGACAGCACAAGGGGCCUGGGGAUUAAUUAAUUUGCUUUUAGAACCGGAGUUGCGGAAUUUUGAAGCUCAUCGGCGUAUGUCACCAUCGUUCAUUGGCAGUUCAAGUCGACACAAGUUCUGGGUUCUGCGGAGAGACAGGUGUUGGCUUAAGCUAUAGGAUGGAUGGAUUUACAUGCACGAGUCACCAGGAUUGAUAUGAGCCGUAGUUCUUUAAUGCUUCCGUGAUUGUUCUUUGAUCUUUUGUUCUGCAUUUGGGAUGGGAGGUAUACCUCUCCUGAAACAUCCGUUUGUCGCGUAAAGGUUAUUUAAUGCGUUUUACAUUUUCGUGUGAUUGACAGGUUAUUGCAUGAGUCGAAAUUCAUCCGGUGCGCACUCUCGCGUAACGACAUUGGCUUCCUUUGUCAACAAAAUAAUUCCAGACCCUUUCCAUGCAAAAUUCCUAAUAUAAAAUCUUACCGUUUUGCACAUCGAUGCUUGGAAUUAAAAUAUGUUGCUGGUACUAACAAGGGUUUCUCCCUUCCAAUCGUGGGAAUUAUUUAUGUUAGCGAAUUAAUAGUACUCUACCACAGAUUAUACCUUUGAGACAUGGAUUCAUGAGCCAAUCACUACUACAUUAAAACUGCCAUUGCCCAUAUCUUAGCUGGAAUGGUGAAGGGCACUUUUUUGGUUGAAGGAAAAGGGGGGAAAAAAAAAAGGAAGGAAAGAAAGGGUGAAGGGCGCUUCUUAAAGCCAACGAACAAAGACUAUAUACACUUGUAAUAUGAUCAAUAGCUGGAACAAGCCAUCAUAACCUGAACGUAUUCUAAAUUAUAUGAACACUCGGAAACUGACCCUUUAAGUUCCCAUACAUAAUUAGAUAGUAAAAGAAAUAAAACAACAUGCAGUAUAAAUUGAGAACUAUAUAGUUACAGAAUCAUUGCAUCAAGUUCACUGGGAAUGCUUGUUCACGUCGUACAAGGGGAUUACUCUAUAUUUGUUUUCUUGAUAUAGUGGUGAAAAUUUUUCCCAAAACAAGCAACAUGGGCCGUUUACCCAUGACCCAAUCUCCAGUCCAAAACACUAAACUUGUCAUAGUUGUCAUUUCGACAGGGUACCCAUUUAUAACUGGCUGAUUACUUUCAAAAAUUUUAGAAGAUGGGCACGGUCUAUUUUGCAGACUAACAUACGUGCGGACUUAUUUGUCUGCAGCCCAAAAAGGCAUGGUUUAUGUGCAGACUUGCAUAGACAGUUAAGUAAAUAUUGUCGAUGCUUGUUCAUUUUUUUCUAUUGUUUGUGUGGGAUGUGAUUUUUUUUUUUUUUAAGAUUUGGGAUUUCUUAUAUCUAUCUCGUCAGUUGUCACGACAAUAUCAGAACUUGAAAUAGUUAAUUAGCAGAUGUGGUGUUGGCAAUUGAACAUGUAUAGAUGUUCUCGGUGUUUUAUCUUUGAAUAUGUUUAGAGUUUCACGGCGAAAUCUUUCUUUUUAUCAAAUUUUCAAAUCUAUAGUAUUUGUUCUUUGAGAUUUAUUAUGCAUGCAUAUGUCUGAUGUAAUUUCUACCAUUAAUACAAAUUUAAUAACAUUUUGAUGUUUUAUCCAAAAAAAAUUUAAAAAAAAGUAUGAGAAAAGCUCAUAGUUAGUUGGGUAUCGAAAGGUACUAGAAACUUUUUUAAACUCCCAAUGGAAAUAUUUUGCAACCAUAAUUAUAUAAACCAAAUGAAACUAAUGCAGAUAGUACGGCAGCCUCCUGCAUCCUUGUCUUUCACAUACAGCGUGACAUAGAUAGAAGACAAUUCUGAUAAAUUUCUCUGCUACUAAUUAUGCUCCUCAUGCAUGCGAUUACGAUGAACAGUUAUAAUAUAUGUAGAGAUCGAGACUGAAGUUACAGCUAUUAGUGAUUUCUCCAAUUAUUUGUGUUUAAAACGUCAUCUAUAGAAAAAUUUAUUCUGCAAAGUGCGUUGUUAGGCAGGUCAAAACGUUAACCAACUUUACGGAACCUAUUGCAAAAGCUUCUAUACUCUAUAGUGUUUGCCUAACACUGCCUAUGUAGCAAGAUAGUGCAGGUACACUUAAUUAUUCUUGCCAUGUUCAAUUCGGCAGGUUUGGUUUGUGCCUGUGCGGUUGGCCAUCAAUUGAGCGGUCAUGCAUGUAAGCAUUGACGAAUGAAUGUGUGAUACAGCCCAAAUUGAUUUGAUGUGUUUUUAGUGGCCCAACUUGCUCAGAGGUUUCCCAAAAGAAUUGUUGUUUAGUACAUCAUAGAUUGAGACGGAAUGAAGAGAUUAAGGAAAAGGAUAAACAUCACAUAAUGUUAGCCGCACACCAAAUUAUUGCCACAAUUUCAGGGGUCUUUCACGGAAGAUGCAGCAAGAAGAACCUUACGAAAGUUAAAAUCUUAAAAAGGGUACCAAAAUUUCCAGUAACUUUCCGGGAGAAAAGUUACUAGUACUACCAUUUUCAGUUUCAGGUGAAGUCAGCUCCAAUUUCAAUCCAAGCAACUACGAAGUUGCCAUGCAAUUUCAUUAAAGACUGCCAGCCAUUAUUGUUAUAGUUGUUUCUACGUUAUUUCUCUGCAAGUUUCCUUCCGACCGUACCUCUCCGCUCAACUUGCUUGAAUAUCUCGACAAACAAUUGUUGUACGAGAUAUUCAUUCAGCAUAAGUGCCUAUUCAUCUGUAUUACACAGCGAGUACUUUUUUGCUUCAGAAUCUAUACACACUAUCCCUCAAAAACAAAAGGUCAUCCACCAAACAAUGGCAACAGCUACCACCAUUGCUGCCAAACCAUCAAAAUGGUUCGCCAACAAAACUUUAAAGCUAAGCCUCCCUCGUUUUCGUUCAAAAUCUAGAUCUUCGACCACUUCUUCCUCCUCCGCCAAUUCUUCACCAAAAACUAGCACCAGUACCAAAGAAAAUGAACUUCGACAAGUUUUUAGCUACUUUGAUGAUAACAAAGAUGGCAAGAUUUCGGUCGAGGAACUUAGAGCAUAUUUCUCUUCUGUCGGUGAUUCAAUGUCCCGUGACGAGGCUCAAAGGGUGAUUCUGGAGUUCGAUAAAGAUGGAGACAAUUUGUUAGAGUUUGGAGACUUUGUUCAAUUAAUUGAAAUGGACAACAAGGGUGACGAGGCUAAUGAUUACGUUAAGAAAGCCUUCGAGAUGUUUGAGGAUGACAAGGGCUCGGGAUGCAUCACUCCUAAAGGACUGCAACUAGUUUUGAACCGUCUUGGAGAUCCAAAAUCCUUGGAAGAAUGUGAAGCCAUGAUUCGAGCUUAUGAUCUUGAUGGCAAUGGAGUUCUAGAUUUCAAUGAAUUCCAUACAAUGAUGUCCUAGGCUCCCAUGAUUCCCCAACACACGCACGCACCACCCAAAAACUCCCCCCCGGGCGGGAACAUGUUGAACUUUGUUUGCUGUUUUUUUUUUUUUUUAAUUGUACUAUAAAGCCUGUUAUCGUAAGUGUUUUUACAAAUUGCGUAGUUAGUAGUGUUAGAAAUUCUACAUAUAUAUAUUUUUUUAAUUUCAUUAGAAUUAUGCAGUAUGGAGGGCAAUGGGUACUAUUUGAUCGUGCAAAUUCCCAGAGACAGUAAUGGGGCCUUUAGAGGAUUUUCUGCGGUACUGGGAUGUAAGGCUUGUGAGUUUAGAUGUUAACUUGACCCCGUGUCUCAAGGCCCAAUUAAAUGUCUUGGAGAUGUCGUAAUUCCAGCCCUCCUUAACCAUUUGAAGCCCAGCGCCUUCAGGCCUAGUAGGCCCAUCACAUCGUUUUAAAUUUCAACCCGUUUCGCAAGAGCUUGAUUUGGUUCCCCCUUGACUUGAUUUUACGAAAACUGAUCACGAAAAGAGAUUAUAAAGAAUAAUUAAAAUUAGGUAAAACUAAAAGAGUAGCUACUCUUUGAUAGGUCUUAAAAGUAAAGCUACUCUUUGCUGAGUAAAUUUACUCAGGAAAGAUGGCUGUCUUUGCCAUUGCAUAAAUGUUUCAAUAUCUGUCACAGGUGAAAGAAAAGGGCUCUUGAAUUCAGCAAGGCAUAAAGUUAGAAGUCAGGUUUUGAAACUGAGCAAGAGGAAGAUCAAAAAUGAUUUCUAUUAAUGUCUCUGUCAUCAAUGUACAUCAAUAUAGAUGAUAUCUACAAGGUAUAAGAAUUUUAUCCUUUCUCUGAACUACUACUAUAUUCAGAAAAAAAAUUCCUGUAAGUGGCCAAAGUUUUGCUCUGACAAAAAUCUGAACAAAUCUUCUCAAGUAUAGCUAAUGUUCAAUACGGCAAGCUGCCCGUCAUUCGGACGUGGUCCAAGGUAUUACCCAGGC
rnacentral:lncRNA from 1 species